AUUGAACGCUGGCGGCAGGCCUAACACAUGCAAGUCGAGCGAGCGGCGGACGGGUGAGUAAUGUCUGGGAAACUGCCUUCUGGAGGGGGAUAACUACUGGAAACGGUAGCUCAUACCGCAUACCAUCAGAUUUGCCCAGAUGGGAUUAGCUAGUAGGUGGGUUAACGGCUCACCUAGGCGACGAUCCCUAGCUGGUCUGAGAGGAUGACCAGCAACACUGGAACUGAGACACGGUCCAGACUCCUACGGGGGGAAGCAGUGGGGAAUAUUGCACAAGGGGGGAAAGCCUGAUGCAGCCAGGCCGCGGGUGUGAAGAAGGCCUUCGGGUUUUAAAGCACUUUCAGCGGGGAGGCGUUACCCACAGAAGAAGCACCGGCUAACUCCGUGCCAGCCGCCGCGGUAAUUC
rnacentral:rRNA from 1 species